rnacentral:rRNA from 1 species
UUAAAUAGCCGCAGUACUUUGACUGUGCAAAGGUAGCAUAAUCAAUUGUCUUAUAAUUAAAGUCUAGGAUGAAUGAAUAUAUGGGGGAAAACUGUUUCCUGAGGAUAUAGGGAAUUUACUUAAAAAGUGCAAAUACUUUUAUUUACAUAUUAGACGAGAAGACCCUAGAAAUUUUUGUAAAAUAAAUUUACUUUUAAAUAUUUUGUUGGGGCGACAAGGUAACAUAUAACUUACUUUUAUUUACUUGCAUAGUAGUUUUAAGAAAGAUAAAAUUACUCUAGGGAUAACAGCAUAAUAUUUUAAAGUUUGUGACCUCGAUGUUGGAUUAGGAAAGAUAGGGGUUUAGAAGAAUCCUAUCUAUGCUCUGUUCGAGCAAUUUUCCCUACGUGAUCUGAGUCAGACCGAAUUAAGGAAUAUGAUUAGGUGUAGAAGUUUAAUUAAUAAGUCUGUUCGACUUUUGAAUCCUUACGUGAUCUGAG